CCCCCCCCUGGAGGUAGCCGCUUGCCUCUGAGGCGAAAGGUUGCGGCCCGGGAAGGAGUUUAGCGACUGGUUUAAGAGAAGAAAUGGGGCGCGGGAAGCGGGCAUUGACCAGACAAGCCCGGGCUUCUGGCGGAGCCCAGGAAAAGGCCAUUAUCACAGCCUUUCCGGUUUGAUUUUGUUAUCUAUCUUGAAAUUUUCUUCAUGCAAGAUCCUGGGGGAAAGCUCAUAACUGGGAGUGCAUCUUAAAUUGACAAUCAAUAUUCUCAGCUCUAAUAUGGGUAAGGUUACCUACGCCAUUUCUUCUGAAACAACAUUUGAAGACUCUUUUUUUUCAUUUUCAGAACACUUAGAAUCAGUUUGCAUUAAACUAAGAGAAAUUACUUGUUUAUUUUGAACGUUACAAACAAAAAUAAUAAUUAUUUAUGACAACAAGCUGCAUCAUCCGUACUUUCAUUUAUUCUUGGUAUAUAAAUUAACUUGGUUGGUGUGAGAAGUAGCGUUUUAUUCAUUUUGAUAUAUUCCUAAUCAUAGUAUUUCCCAUGUACUAGAAAUAAAAAUCUCUGUGCCUCAA